CAUUACCUAGAGUUGUAGGCUUUGCCUACCAUCUCUUACCCAUGUCUUUUGAGUACCUUCGUUUCCUCGGCGGGUCCGCCCGCCGAUUGGACAAACUUAAACCCUUUGUAAUUGAAAUCAGCGUCUGAAAAAACAUAAUAGUUACAACUUUCAACAACGGAUCUCUUGGUUCUGGCAUCGAUGAAGAACGCAGCGAAAUGCGAUAAGUAGUGUGAAUUGCAGAAUUCAGUGAAUCAUCGAAUCUUUGAACGCACAUUGCGCCCCUUGGUAUUCCAUGGGGCAUGCCUGUUCGAGCGUCAUUUGUACCUUCAAGCUCUGCUUGGUGUUGGGUGUUUGUCUCGCCUUUGCGUGUAGACUCGCCUUAAAACAAUUGGCAGCCGGCGUAUUGAUUUCGGAGCGCAGUACAUCUCGCGCUUUGCACUCAUAACGACGACGUCCAAAAAGUACUUUUUACACUCUUGACCUCGGAUCAGGUAGGGAUACCCGCUGAACUUAAGCAUAUCA
rnacentral:rRNA from 1 species